rnacentral:rRNA from 1 species
AUCUUCCGCAAUGGACGAAAGUCUGACGGAGCAACGCCGCGCGAGUGAUGAAGGCUUUCGGGUCGUAAAACUCUGUUGUUAGGGAAGAACAUGUGCUAGUUGAAUCAGCUGGCACCUUGACGGUACCUAACCAGAAAGCCACGGCUAACUACGUUCCAGCAGCCGCGGUAAUACGUAGUUGGCAAGCGUUAGCCGGAAUUAUUGGGCUUAAAGCGCGCGCAGGUGGUUUCUUAAGUCUGAUGUGAAAGCCCACGGCUCAACCGUGGAGGGUCAUUGGAAACUGGGAGACUUGAGUGCAGAAGAGGUAAGUGGAAUUCCAUGUGUAGCGGUGAAAUGCGUAGAGAUAUGGAGGAACACCAGUGGCGAAGGCGACUUUCUGGUCUGUAACUGACACUGAGGCGCGAAAGCGUGGGGAGCAAACAGG